UACGGGGGGGGCAAGCGUUGUUCGGAAUUACUGGGCGUAAAGCGUGCGCAGGCGGUUGUGCAAGACAGGUGUGAAAUCCCCGGGCUUAACCUGGGAACUGCACUUGUGACUGCACGGCUGGAGUACGGCAGAGGGGGAUGGAAUUCCGCGUGUAGCAGUGAAAUGCGUAGAUAUGCGGAGGAACACCGAUGGCGAAGGCAGUCCCCUGGGCCUGUACUGACGCUCAUGCACGAAAGCGUGGGGAGCAAACAGG
rnacentral:rRNA from 1 species